AGCUCCUGCAAUCCCGCCCCAAAUACCACCACCGCCUACAAUACCACCACCGCCUACGCCUACUCCCCAAGCACCUGCGAUCCCAGAAAGACCACCGCUUGCCGUUCCAGGGGACGACAACUCUUUGGAUUCAGAUGUCAAUUACUUUACAGAUGAUGAAUUUGAGUAUGCUUUGCCUCCGCCUCCUGAGGACGAAAUAGUUAAAGCCGUUCAUGCUAUCACAGGAUCAAGACUUUCGGAAUUUAGGAGGAGAUUUGAUGAAGGAGAUCUUGAUGGGUAUGUUCAAGGAUUAGCUAAGGAAAUCGAAAGGAGUUCCUCUCACGAGUAGAUAUCAUUAUUUCACCACCUCCGCUGAUUGAAGUAUCACCAUUGACAUGAUUGAAGGGUACUUGGCAUUAUCCUUAAAAAAAGGAAAAUAAGAUUUCAAAUUAAGCUGGAAAAUGUGUAUGUGAGCGCUUGUAUUUGUCCUCAAAAACCUUGAAACACACCACAAUCCCAAUAAAGGAUGAAAAACAAUUUAGACACAAUUAACGAUUCAUGAAUUUAAUUUUGCGUCUCUGAGACGCAUUUAGCUUGUUAGAAUCCCGUAAUUAGUAACCAUCUGCAAUACAAUUAUUGGAAAUGGUUUCUUGAUUGAUUUGU